rnacentral:lncRNA from 1 species
CCUUUAUCCCACAACCUAUAUCCUUUAACCCCAUCAAGAUAUCCUAGAAAAACACAUUUCUAGGCCUUGGAUUUCGAUUUUCCUAUAUUCCGAUGGGAAUAGGUAGUACAUCCAAAGAUUUUCAAGUGAGAAUAAUAAUCUGGAAUAUUUCCAGUCCGCUUUUUUCUUGGGGUUUUAUCCCUCAAAGCACCGAGGAUGUUCUAUUUACAAUAUAUGAAGCUGUUAUGACAGCUUCACCUCAUAACACCUUAGGAACACUUGAACUCACCAACAUACACCUGACCUUGUCUAACAAGGUCUUAUUCAUCGUCUUAGCAACUUCAUUAUGCUAAGGGGUAUAGGGGACAGUCUUAUGCCUUUUAAUUCCAGAGUUAUUGCAAAAUUGAUCAAAUUCAUUAUUGCAAAACUCCAGACCAUUAUCUGUCCUAAGUAUCUUAAUUCGUCUCCCAGUAUGAUUUUCUAUUAGGUUUUUCAUGAUUUUAAACUUCUCCAAGGUUUCAGAUUUGUAUUUCAACAAGUAUACCCAAACCUUCCUAGAAUAGACAUCAAUCAAGAACAAGAAAUAUCUAUUUGCUCCUUGAGUGAUAAUAGAUGAAGGCCCCUAUAAGUUAGAAUGUAUAUGCUCCAGAAUUGAGGUGGUUUUAUGCUUACCAGUAUUAAAAUGCAGCUUAUGUCGCUUAUCUAAAGUGCAAUUUUUACAAAAUAACACUUAAGAUAUUGUAUCUUUU